rnacentral:rRNA from 1 species
UACGAAGGGUGCAAGCGUUACUCGGAAUUACUGGGCGUAAAGGGUGCGUAGGUGGUUGUUUAAGUCUGCUGUGAAAGCCCCGGGCUCAACCUGGGAAUGGCAAUGGAUACUGGCAGGCUAGAGUGCGGUAGAGGGUAGUGGAAUUCCCGGUGUAGCGGUGAAAUGCGUAGAGAUCGGGAGGAACACCAGUGGCGAAGGCGGCUACCUGGACCAGCACUGACACUGAGGCACGAAAGCGUGGGGAGCAAACAGG